GUACUUGAUAUGGCAACACAUACACUAAAAUUGGAAUGAUACAGAGGAGAUUAAUAUGCUCCCCUGCACAAGGAUGAAAUGCAAAUUCGUGAAGCAUUCCAUAUUUUU
ensembl:snRNA U6 U6 spliceosomal RNA